rnacentral:lncRNA from 1 species
UAAAAGUUAAGGGUGAAUUCUACCUAUCCUAUAAAUUUGAAACAAAUUGAAGGGUUAGAUCAAGAGUUAUGAAUUUCUAAAGUUUAGGAAAAGAAAAUCCUUUGUGAGAAAAAUAUGUUUUGAAGGGAUUUUGUUAUAUUUUGAGUUUUAUGCAAAAUAAAGGAGUUUUGGAAGGUAAGACAAGAUUCAUAUAAAGGUUUAAGCUACACUCUCUACAACUAGAUACCUAGUGUAUUUUCAG